AAUGUAAAUGCUGUUUUUAUCCCUGCGCGGCCAGACAGUCACCGUGUAGUGGGCUAAACCGAGCCAGCCCGUGCUUGUGUUUUGUGUCGGAUCCUCGCGGGAAUCGCGAUCCGGUUCGCCUGCCUAUCCGCAGUGCUGCGGGUCCGGGAGAGGACACAGUGAUGGAGUCUGGUCGCCCACAGCGUCUGUUUCUGAUCGUCCUGUUUCUCCAGCAGCCCUCUGUCUCCAGACCAGAGACGUUUCAGGUUCUUGGUCCAGCUGAUCCUGUUGUCACUGUGGCUGGUGAAGACACUGUCCUGCCCUGUUACCUCUCACCCAGGAUCAGCGCUGAGGGACUGGAGAUCCGCUGGUUCAGGGAUGAA